rnacentral:rRNA from 1 species
UCUGUGACUCCUACGGGAGGCAGCAGUGGGGAAUAUUGCACAAUGGGGGAAACCCUGAUGCAGCCAUGCCGCGUGUGUGAAGAAGGCCUUCGGGUUGUUAAAGCACUUUCAGUAGGGAGGAAGGUAGUGUAGUUAACACCUGCAUUAUUUGACGUUUACCUACAGAAGAAGCACCGGCUAACUCCGUGCCAGCAGCCGCGGUAAUACGGAGGGUGCGAGCGUUAAUCGGAAUUACUGGGCGUAAAGCGCAUGCAGGCGGCCUGUUAAGUCAGAUGUGAAAGCCCGGGGCUUAACCUCGGAAUUGCAUUUGAAACUGGCAGGCUAGAGUCUUGUAGAGGGGGUAGAAUUUCAGGUGUAGCGGUGAAAUGCGUAGAGAUCUGAAGGAAUACCAGUGGCGAAGGCGGCCCCCUGGACAAAGACUGACGCUCAGAUGCGAAAGCGUGGGGAGCAAACAGGAUUAGAUACCCUGGUAG